AUGAAACAUCAGUUCUCAUAUGAUCACCAAUGUUAAGCAAUGUUGAGCCUGGUCAGUACCAAGAUAGGUAACUGCUUGGAAAUACCAGGUGCUGUAAG